rnacentral:lncRNA from 1 species
AUUUAUUUAUUUAUCUGUGCCCUGCUAGCUAACCGAGUCCUCUAAUGUCUGAUCCUAGAAAAACGUUAAAUCAUCUGAAAAAGGAGAAGUUUGCAGCUCAAAAAGCAGCAGAGAACGGAAAAAAACAGGUAACACACAAAGAUAUGGGUUGCAACAAAGAUGAAGCUUUGUAGUUCAGAGAUGUAAUCGUCUUCCUUCAGAUUUCAGGGCUGCGUUUGCAAAACCAGAAGCUGGAGAACGACAACAAGGUCCUGUCGGAGGAAAAUGCCAGGAUCUCUGCUGAUGUGGAGAGCUUACGACAGCAGCUGGAGAACAGAAAGAGAGAGGCGCUCCCAGUGGAGGAGAGGACCACGCUGGCAGCUUGUAUGUCUGCUCUGGAGGCAGAGUUGACCAAAGCUUUGGAGGACAGUGCACAACUAGAAGAAAGAAAUAUCCAGCUGUCACAGCAGCUCUCUGAGUCCAGGGAGAAGGCCCACCUGAAAGACGGGAUGGAGAGCCAGCUCAGCCACCUCGUGGAGGAAUGCAGGAGUGUGGAUAAGGAGACUAUGGGCCUCAGAAACCAGCUCGCCAAAGCUCAGGAAAAGGUGUGAGGGCGUCUAAGCGUGAGGAAAUGUAGAAGCUACUCAUCUCAUGACGUUGUGGGAGAAUCAUCUCAUUUCAGAGGUUGAAGUGGUGCACUAUAGUCACAACGAUUCAUAUUCCUGUUGCUUCCUCUUAAAAAAUGUAUUAUUCAUACAAGACACAGAACUGUGCCUGUAUUCACAGUGAUUUAAUAACACGCUACAGGCUCGAUCGUGCAGAGAUGAUGUUUGUGGUUGACUU